rnacentral:misc_RNA from 1 species
CAUGCCGACAGGCCGUAAACCAGUAAAUAUCCCAACCCAACGGUGCGGUGCCGUGGGAAGCCUCGCCGUUUACGGCGAGGAGGAGGUCACUAGGGGUUC